UCCAGUCUUGUGGCCCACAUCCUUCGCUCCUCAAUGGGAAAGCUAAAAACACACCUAGAGAAAAAUAUGCACAUGGCGAAGUGGUGGGCUAUGUCUGCAAGCCUCGGUUUCUGAUGAAGGGUUCUAACCACAUUCAGUGCGUUGAUGGUCAAUGGACAGACUUGCCCAUCUGUGUUGAGGAGGACAGUACAUGUGGCACUGUGCCAGUACUUGCCAAUGGCUAUGCGGUGUCAUCUGCCCCUCCCUAUCAUCAUGGAGAAUCGGUAGAGUUCAGUUGCACAGAAACAUUUGUAAUGAUUGGACGCAGCUCAGUUACGUGUGUUAGGGGAAUGUGGACCCAACUUCCUCAGUGUGUGGGUGAGAAUACACUUUUCAAUUUGACAUUCAAUAAAAAUUCAAUAUUUGUAUUGUAAAAAA